AUUGAACGCUGGCGGCAUGCCUUACACAUGCAAGUCGAACGGUAACGCGGGGCAACCUGGCGACGAGUGGCGAACGGGUGAGUAAUGCAUCGGAACGUGCCCAGUAGUGGGGGAUAGCCCGGCGAAAGCCGGAUUAAUACCGCAUACGACCUACGGGUGAAAGGGGGGGAUCGCAAGACCUCUCGCUAUUGGAGCGGCCGAUGUCAGAUUAGGUAGUUGGUGGGGUAAAGGCCUACCAAGCCGACGAUCUGUAGCUGGUCUGAGAGGACGACCAGCCACACUGGGGCUGAGACACGGCCCAGACUCCUACGGGAGGCAGCAGUGGGGAAUUUUGGACAAUGGGCGCAAGCCUGAUCCAGCCAUGCCGCGUGCGGGAAGAAGGCCUUCGGGUUGUAAACCGCUUUUGUCAGGGAAGAAACGCGCUGAGUUAAUACCUCGGCGUAAUGACGGUACCUGAAGAAUAAGCACCGGCUAACUACGUGCCAGCCGCCGCAGUAACAC
rnacentral:rRNA from 1 species